CCUACGGGAGGCUGCAGUGAGGAAUAUUGGUCAAUGGGCGCGAGCCUGAACCAGCCACGUAGCGUGAAGGAUGACUGCCCUACGGGUUGUAAACUUCUUUUAUAAAGGAAUAAAGUGAGGCACGUGUGCCUUUUUGUAUGUACUUUCUGAAUAAGGAUAGGCUAACUCCGUGCCAGCAGCCGCGGUAAUACGGAGGAUCCGAGCGUUAUCCGGAUUGAUUGGGUGUAAAGGGAGCGUAGAUGGGUGGUGAAGUCAGUUGUGAAAGUUUGCGGCUCAACCGUAAGAUUGCAAUUGAUACUGGCAGUCUUGAGUACAGGUGAGGUAAGCGGAAUUCGUGGUGUAGCGGUGAAAUGCUUAGAUAUCACGAAGAACUCCGAUGGCGAAGGCAGCUUACUAAACUGCCACUGACAUUGAUGCUCGAAAGUGUGGGUAGCAAACAGGAUUAGAUACCCCAGUAGUC
rnacentral:rRNA from 1 species